CGCGGGAGAUGACGGACAGCGCUGGGCCGGCGGCCCUUCCGCUGCCUCUCGCGGACGUGCUCAGCACCUGGUCCCUACCGCAACAGCAACGCCCGCCUAAUACCUGCCAGGCGGCUCCCAAAGACCCAGGUCCGACAAAGGGAGUAAAACGUGAGAAUGGAAAUGAUACGGUGAUGGCAGCGCACGGAAUAUCGGCGACUGAAAUACGGAUCUAACGUCUCUGGAACACGAGGGGCACCUUCGGAACACCACAUGCGUAAAUGGUGCGCUUCCGAAAGUCAGACCCAUCACCUCUGCUGAAGGGGUCCCCCGCACUGACACACGCACAUACCAGUUCAACAACCCGAAAGCGAUCGCGUUCAUUCUCUGCAGCUCGGCGCGGUGACCUGACCCGCCGCGACUAGUUUUAGGGCAGGAGGCGCUGAAUUAGCGGGACCCGGAUCCAACAUUUAAUUAAAUUAAUUACUUAAUUUAACAAAGGAGAGGAGUGCGUGUUCGUGAGCCUGCCGACCUGCAUUAGCAGUGUGCCCUCCCCAAAGGACAGCAACCGGGAGCCCCGGCCGCUCCCUCGCCGCUGCCGCCGGGCCCUGGACCCAUUACCUCCCGCUGCCCCCCUCCCAG